rnacentral:rRNA from 1 species
CCUACGGGGGGCAGCAGUCGCGAAACCUUCGCAAUGCGCGAAAGCGUGACGAGGGUAAUCUGAGUGCCAACCUUAUGGUUGGCUUUUAGUCACCUUGAAAAGGUGGCUGAAUAAGGGGUGGGUAAAUCCUGUGCCAGCCGCCGCGGUAACACAGGUAGCCCGAGUGGUGCCCACGAAUAUUGAGUCUAAAACGUGCGUAGCCGGCUUAGCCAGUUCCUUGUGAAAUGCAUCAGCUUAACUGAUGCGCGCGCAUGGAAUACUACUAGGCUUGGGAGCGGAGGAGGCAGAGGGUACUUUAGGGGGAGGAGUAAAAUCCUGUAAUCCUUAAAGGACCAUCGGUGGCGAAAGCGCUCUGCCAAGACGCGUCCGACGGUGAGGCACGAAGGCUAGGGGAGCAAAUCGGAUUAGAUACCCGGGUAGUC